CCUACGGGAGGCUGCAGUAGGGAAUAUUGCUCAAUGGGGGAAACCCUGAAGCCGCAACGCCGCGUGGAGGAUGAAGGUUUUCGGAUUGUAAACUCCUUUUGUUAGAGAAGAUAAUGACGGUAUCUAACGAAUAAGCACCGGCUAACUCCGUCCAGGCAGCCGCUGUAAUACGGAGGGUGCAAGCGUUACUCGGAAUCACUGUGCGUAAAGAGCGCGUAGGCGGGAUAUCAAGUCAGAUGUGAACUACUAUGGCUUAACCAUAGAACUGCAUUUGAAACUGUUAUUCUAGAGUAUGGGAGAGUGUGGUGGAAUUCUUGGUGUAGGGGUAAAAUCCGUAGAGAUCAAGAGGAAUACUCAUUGCGAAGGCGACCGGCUAGAACAUAACUGACGCUGAUGCGCGAAAGCGUGGGGAGCAAACAGGAUUAGAUACCCGUGUAGUC
rnacentral:rRNA from 1 species